ensembl:rRNA 5S_rRNA 5S ribosomal RNA
GUCUACGACCGUACUAUCCUGAACGCGCCCAAUCUCAUCUCAUCUCAGAAGCUAAACAGGGUCAGGCCUGGUUAGUACUUGGAUGGGAGAGGAAACUUGUGUUCUUUGGCCUCCUGAGAAUAUCUGGUUUCACU